GGGGAAUAUUGCACAAUGGGCGCAAGCCUGAUGCAGCCAUGCCGCGUGUAUGAAGAAGGCCUUCGGGUUGUAAAGUACUUUCAGCGGGGAGGAAGGCGACAGGGUUAAUAACUCUGUCGAUUGACGUUACCCGCAGAAGAAGCACCGGCUAACUCCGUGCCAGCAGCCGCGGUAAUACGGAGGGUGCAAGCGUUAAUCGGAAUUACUGGGCGUAAAGCGCACGCAGGCGGUCUGUUAAGUCAGAUGUGAAAUCCCCGGGCUUAACCUGGGAACUGCAUUUGAAACUGGCAGGCUUGAGUCUUGUAGAGGGGGGUAGAAUUCCAGGUGUAGCGGUGAAAUGCGUAGAGAUCUGGAGGAAUACCGGUGGCGAAGGCGGCCCCCUGGACAAAGACUGACGCUCAGGUGCGAAAGCGUGGGGAGCAAAC
rnacentral:rRNA from 1 species